rnacentral:rRNA from 1 species
GAUGAACGCUGGCGGCGUGCCUAAUACAUGCAAGUCGAGCGAACAGACGAGGAGCUUGCUCCUCUGACGUUAGCGGCGGACGGGUGAGUAACACGUGGAUAACCUACCUAUAAGACUGGGAUAACUUCGGGAAACCGGAGCUAAUACCGGAUAAUAUAUUGAACCGCAUGGUUCAAUAGUGAAAGACGGUUUUGCUGUCACUUAUAGAUGGAUCCGCGCCGCAUUAGCUAGUUGGUAAGGUAACGGCUUACCAAGGCAACGAUGCGUAGCCGACCUGAGAGGGUGAUCGGCCACACUGGAACUGAGACACGGUCCAGACUCCUAAGGGAGGCAGCAGUAGGGAAUCUUCCGCAAUGGGCGAAAGCCUGACGGAGCAAAGCCGCGUGAGGGAUGAAGGUCUUCGGAUCGUAAAACUCUGUUAUUAGGGAAGAACAAAUGUGUAAGUAACUAUGCACGUCUUGACGGUACCUAAUCAGAAAGCCACGGCUAACUACGUG